CCGCCCGUCACAUCACGAAAGCCAUUUGUACUAGAAGCCGGCAAUUCAACCGCAAGGAGAUAGCCAUCCAAGGUAUGAAUGGUGAUUGGGGUG
rnacentral:rRNA from 1 species